GGGGGACGGGGGAGUAACGGGUGAGAAUCUGCCUACAGGACGGGGACAAAAGUUGGAAACGACUGCUAAUACCAGAUUUGCCGAGAGGUGAAAAAUUAUUGGCCUGUAGAUGAGCUCGGGUCUGAUUAGAUAGUUGGGGGGGUAAGGGCCUACCAAGCCGACGAUCAGUAGCUGGUCUGAGGGGAAGAUCAGCCACACUGGGACUGAGACACGGCCCAGACUCCUACGGGAAGGCAGCAGUGGGGAAUUUUCCGCACAUGGGCGCAAGCCUGACGGAGCAACGCCGCGUGGGGGGGGAAGGUUUUUGGACUGUAAACCCCUUUAUUCAGGGAAGAAGAAAGUGACCGUACCUGAGGAAUAAGCCACGGCUAAUUCCGUGCCAGCAGCCGCGGUAAUACGGGAGCGGCAAGCGUUUUCCGGAAUUAUUGGGCGUAAAGCGUCCGCAGGCGGUUAAUCACGUCUGUUGUCAAAGCGUGGGGCUCAACCUCAUACAGGCAAUGGAAACUGAUUGACUACAGUAUGGUAGGGGUAGCGGGAAUUCCAGGUGUAGCCGUGAAAUGCGUAGAUAUCUGGAAGAACACCAGCCGCGAAAGCGCGCUA
rnacentral:rRNA from 1 species